AAGAGUAAAAAACAAUUAAAAAACCCAUGGGUUAUUUUAAUUACGAAUAUAUAUUGUGAUUUUAAAUUAUGUAAAAACAUGAAAUUCUAGUUAUCUCCCUUGGCACUCUUUAGUAAAAGGAGUUGGAAAGGGUGUAUUUAACUCUUCAGUUUAGAAGGUGACUAUUUAAGAAAUGUGUGUGAUUUCAUCUUCAUUUCGGAAGUUUUGCCGGUUUUCAUACAUCCAAGGGGCAUGUAAGUCUAAAUUUUUUAUUAGAAAAAUAUAAGCCUAGGAUAAAAAAAUAACUGCCUGCAAUUUGCUUAAUUUUAUCUGACAAAAACACAAUUUUAUUUCCUAAACAUGCUAAAUGAGAACAGAGUUUGAGUGUUUUGAAAAAGGCUAAUUUGUUUAACAAUAACAUCAAAACUACUUAAAUUCAGUUAAUUUUGGGAAAAACAUUUAAUUUUGUACUGGAAUUUGAACAGUAGCUCGCUGCUGGGGAUUACAGUAUGAUGAGUAUCUCUCCUUUCCGUCGAUACUCCCUUAUAGUGCUGCAAUAUACACAGUCGACUGGAAGAAGUCCUCGACCUCAGCAUACAUGAAGUCAUAGCAAGAAGCAGUGAAAGCCACAGCAGAGAUUGGAUCGAGCAUAGUUUUUUUUUUCUAUGUCUCGGCGCCUCUAUGGAUGUCAUAUUUAGAUCAGAUGCAAUCUGAGGCUUGUUCUGAAUUUCAAAAUCCCCUUUGACAACACCUGCACAGCUGAGCAAUCAAGGACCUUCUGACUAAGGGCUGAAUUAUAGUGAACACUGCCAUUCAGAGACUUUCAAACAGAUUGAUGAAUGAACCACAUGCAUUAUGUCAGAGGAAUCUAGCUGGAGCAUCUAUUUAGCAGCCAGGACACAUAAAUGUACCUGUACAGUUGAUACAGAUAAUCUCAACAGCACAUUUCUAAAUGAUGGCCAAAAAAAUCUAAUAAAGACACUGUCAGUUUAAAACUUUUUGAAAGAAAUCCAGACCAGAAACAAAGGAUAUUGAUUUUUAAGCUCCUCCAAAUGUAAAAGGGGUUUUAUUGAAACCAAGACCAGGAUACACCCAAGGAUAUUGAAUAUUACACCCCUUCAACAUAAAAUUUUGAAUUUUAAUUUGCCUAUCUAGUCAAGAACAUGGAUUUUUUGUCAUUUGAUACACUUUAUAAUGUUAUAUUGACUUUUUUUUCAAGAUUUCUUUACUGUAAACUAUAUAUUUCAGCAAAAAGUACAUUUACAGAUGAUUUUUCAAAAAUUGCUUUAAAAAUACAGUUGA